rnacentral:tRNA from 1 species
AGGAUUAUAGUUUAUUGUUAAAACAUUUGAUUUGCAAUCAAAAAAAAUUAAAUAUUAAUUUAUCUUA